rnacentral:rRNA from 1 species
AGAACGAACGCUGGCGGCAUGCCUAAUACAUGCAAGUCGAACGAAGGCUUCGGCCUUAGUGGCGCACGGGUGCGUAACGCGUGGGAAUCUGCCCCUUGGUUCGGAAUAACAGUUGGAAACGACUGCUAAUACCGGAUGAUGACGAAAGUCCAAAGAUUUAUCGCCAAGGGAUGAGCCCGCGUAGGAUUAGCUAGUUGGUGAGGUAAAGGCUCACCAAGGCGACGAUCCUUAGCUGGUCUGAGAGGAUGAUCAGCCACACUGGGACUGAGACACGGUCCAGACUCCUACGGGAGGCAGCAGUGGGGAAUAUUGGACAAUGGGCGAAAGCCUGAUCCAGCCAUGCCGCGUGUGUGAAGAAGGUCUUCGGAUUGUAAAGCACUUUAAGUGGAGGAAGGCAUUUACCUAAUACGUAAGUGUUUGACGUUACCGACAGAAUAAGCACCGGCUAACUCUGUGCCAGCAGCCGC